UCGUGUUUUUUCUAAAAGAAAAACGAAAGUGAAAAUUUGAUUAAACGUUUUUUUCAUGUUUUAAGGCAAGAACAAAGGAUUAUUUGGUUUGUUUUUAAGCAUGGGAGGGGUCUCAUAGUUUUUUUUAUCACUUUUGAUACGAUAACAACUGGACUAUGAACGUUCUUAGACCAUUUAUAGACUUCGCCAAAAUGUAAACAAAAAUCCAAAAUGGCUGCCGCGAAGUGACGGUGAAACCACAGUUUUCACUUAGUCAGAUUUUUGAUGAUUAAUGCAUGAAACAGUUGCUGACAGCUUCAAACUGCAUGUAUAGCUUGUGUAAAUAUGUGUAAACAUUAAGAAAGAAUACAUUUUAUGUCUAUUUUUUAAAUAUUUGUAAAAAACAUGUUUUCACAAAGUUUGUGUUCGUCCCCAGCUGUAUCGUACCGUUUUGUUCUCAAAUAUGUUUACAGUAUGUAAUAAAGACGUGUUUAUAUAAAAUAAAGCCCGAGAAAAAUGCCAGAUUUAGGUUAUAACAGUUGUUUUCUAACUGAAACGUGAUAUUAGGUUCAUCUUCAAGUGUUGGCUUCAUCGCACCUGUCAUGAGCAGCUUUUGGUCGUGGUGGUACACUUAAAAGUUGGACCCAGCAAUUUAAACUGGUAUGCCAGAGAUGUGUUAACUGAGUAUGUUGUAUAGGCUAUAAGGGCGUCAAUGAUUGUAUGUUUGAUAAGGUGUUGUUGAUUUGUUGUUGAUUUAUUUAUUUUCCUUUCUUAUUAUUUUAAACCCGGGAGGAACUGUAGAGAACCAGCCAGACAGCCCGUCCGCCGAGAUGCCAUCCCGACGGAGCUGUACUUUGUGUAUGCCAACAUGCUGUAAUUUGUUAGUACUUCAAGAUCAUAGAAUGGAAAAUUGUAUCCAAACUGAAGUAUAAACCAGCCUGGUUGCUGUAGCCACAGUGGAAUUUUCAAGGACAAGAACCAGUGCUGGUAAAAAUGUGGUUUGUGUGGUUUUCCAAACCGGCUCUCAGCAAGGAUCUCCGAGAAAGGAUUAUCGUCUCCAAAUCAUGAUGUGCCAAUAAGCUCCAGCUAGCUGCGCCUUUUUCCUCCCAGCGGUAGUCCUGCAAUCUGAAUCCAGGAGAUGCAGCUCUGAAUCCAAUAUUUCAGAAGAAUGAAGAUAAAACUGAAGCUUUCAUGUAAACACCACCAUGGUAUUGAUUUACUCAGCUUUGAUGUACUCGGCUGUGAUGUAACAUGCCUUCAAGCCACUAUCCUGAAGAACAUUCAGACGUUCUAAAUGGACCAUUGCCCUGUUGCCUUGGAAAUCAUUAUGAGGAGGAGCACACAAACUGUCACUUGUUUUGAAUUUGAGAUGUACCACAAACUGACCAUAAACUUUUCGGAUGCUUUGUUUAUUUCAUCUGCCAAUUUCGAUGUAUGUUUUACUGAAUAACGACAAACAGUCUUACUCAUAAGCAUCUCUUAAUCAUUUGUAUUCCACAACUAAACAUGCUUGCAAUUACACUGUGCCAGCUUUCAUAAUAUAGCAAUGCUGCAAUGACCAUAUUUUUUGUACCAGUUGUUGCUUUAUACUGAAACUUUUAUUGAAAAUGGUGCAUAAACACUGAUAACACAUAAAUGUUUCAUUCAUACAUUUGUACAUGUUCUUUCAGUGUAUAUGUUGAUAAUGUUAAUACAUAUUUGAUGUGCAGUUACACAUGUAUUUAUUGCCAACCUCAUCGAAACAUGCAUAUUUCCAACACAGACAUUUACUGAAUGUAUUACUACUUUAGGUUGAUUUUGAUAUGUAAAUAAAACAUUGUACUACUUGUUUGUACAAAACACUUUUCAUUUGCUAUGCUGUU